GUUUUAUUCCUUGCGGUUACCAUUUCUAACUGGAUAAUGACACAUUACUCUUUGGGUCCUUUGCUGCUAAGCAAGCACACAGUGUUCGACACUUCCGCACUUUCAAGUUUCGAGCGGUGUUUCAGAUCAUUGCCCAAUCUUCCUCCCAAACCCCAAGUCACCCCAAUGGAAAACGAAGAUCCUCGAAACGGUGAGUCGUCUCGCCACCACCAAGUCACGAAGAAGCCCCGGCUCACUCAGUUCAUAACCGAAUCCGAAAUCCAAAAAGAGUUCGCACACCACCAGUCUGGCAUAGCCCGAAUCAAUAACGGGAGCUUCGGAAGCUGCCCCGGGUCGGUGCUUGCCGCCCAGAGGAAGUGGCAACUCAAAUUCCUUCAGCAACCGGACGAUUUCUACUUCAAUACGCUCCGCAAAGGGAUUCUCCACUCCCGGACACUGGUUAAAGACCUCAUUAAUGCCGAUGACGUGGACGAGGUCUCACUUGUCGAUAAUGCCACCACCGCCGCUGCCAUCGUCCUCCAGCAGAUAGGUCGGUCGUUCGCCGAUGGAAAAUUCCAUGAGAACGACAGUGUAUUGAUGCUUCACUGCGCUUAUGAAGCCGUAAAAAAAUCUAUACAAGCGUAUGUAACUCGUGCCGGCGGAUCAGUGAUAGAAGUGCAGCUUCCGUUUCCAGUUACCUCCGAUGAGGAAAUUAUCGCUGAGUUCAGGAAAGGAUUACAAAAAGGUAAGUCCAAUGGUAGAAAAGUUAGGUUAGCAAUAAUCGAUCACAUCACUUCAAUGCCAAGUGUCGUAACUCCAGUCCGGGAAUUGGUUAAAAUUUGUAGAGAAGAAGGCGUGGACCAAGUUUUUGUUGAUGCAGCUCACGCUAUGGGAAGUGUUAGGGUAGAUGUUAAAGAAAUUGGGGCUGAUUUCUACGCUAGCAAUUUACACAAAUGGUUUUUCUGCCCGCCAUCAGUUGCAUUUUUAUAUUGUAAAAGAACCAGUUCCUCCUCUUAUGUACAUCAUCCAGUGGUUUCACAUGAAUAUGGAAAUGGAUUGCCAAUAGAGAGUGCUUGGAUUGGGACAAGGGAUUACAGUUCUCAACUGGUAAUACCUUCUGCUUUGGAGUUUAUAAAUCGAUUUGAAGGGGGAGUUGAUGGAAUAAUGAAGAGGAACCAUGAGAAGGUUGUUGAGAUGGGGAAAAUGUUAGCAGAGUCGUGGGGGACAAAACUUGGGGCCUCUCCGGAGAUGUGUUCAAGCAUGAUUAUGGUUGGCUUGCCUUCAAGAUUGCAUGUAAUGAGUCAAGAUGAUGCUUUGAGGUUGAGGUCGCAUUUGCGCUCCAAUUAUGGGGUUGAGGUUCCAAUUCAUUAUCAGGCUUCUAGAGACGGUGAGGAGGGUUGGAAGGAUAAUGAUGGGCUCGUAACGGCCUAUGCAAGGAUUUCUCAUCAGGUCUAUAAUACGUGUGUGGAUUAUUACAAGCUAAGAAAUGCCAUAAAUCAACUCCUUGAUAAUCCACAGAUAGCACAAAAGCUUCUUGCAGAGUGAAGAGCAAGCUGAGCAGACAAUCUUCUAGCAAGUCGCCUGUCAGUUGAAAAGUAGUUUCGCCUUAGCUUUUGGCUUCGAGUGAGUUGUGAAUCGGUUGACAUGUCUGCUUCAUGUACAUGGUGAAGAAUAGGGCUGGUGUUAACAGUUGAAUUAUACGAGCAGUAGGGUGUGAUGACAUAGAGAUGGAGGUUCAAUGUUAACAUUCAUGUAACUUAUGGUUGUUAGUGAUUGCUACCUUAUCGAGUUCAGGUGAAAUGCCGAGGGAAAUCGACUUGCCAUGAGUUAGCUUACUGCGGGAGAAAUAGUUUCCUUUUUUUCCUUUAUUCUUAAAACAGUUUAUCAGUUGAUCGGACAGUGGCCAAAUGGGACCAAGCCUUCUCUUCCCCUGCUCUUUUGUUGACGCAGAACUAAUUGAUCACGAAAGGCUCCAACAAAUCCAUGUUUGCUUCUGGAGUUGGUGACAAAUGGACAGAAACCUAUACAAGCGGGAAGCGACGAUGAAGUUCAAAGUUUGGAAGUUGGAAGAAUUAGCAUGGCAACGGGUGAAAAUCACUCUAUUGAACUCUCAGCUCAAUUAAUACAUAUAUAUAAAUUAUAUUACAACCCAUUUAAUUCUAUACGUUUUAACUAAUAAUUUAUAUAAAAAUAUUUUUAAUGAAUAUUAUUUUAAUAGAAAUUUUACUCGUACUAAAUUCAGUACAUAUUUUAUUUAUUACAAAUGUGUAUUCAAGUAUAACAGCUAGAGAGUUAAAAAUUCAGAGCUAUUUUUCUCAAAAGACUCUUGAUAUGGAUAAAGACAUAGUUUUAACCAACAAGAGAUGAUUAGUUAGAAUACGGCAUCCAUAUAUUGCUUUCUGUUCGGGGGCAGGGGAGAGAGAGCAAGCUUAGUGAGUCAUGCAGUUGAGGCACUCAUGUGAAGUGCCACCAAAGAAGCAUAGAAACCAUCUCUGAUAUUGAUCAAAGAAUCGUGCUUUCCUUUCUCUACAAUAACUCCAUUUUUAACCACUGCAAUGACAUCUGCAUUCUUGAUUGUACUUAAUCGGUGGGCUACAACCACUGUGGUCCUGCUCACCAUUACUCUGUCUAAUGCAUCUUGAACCACUCUCUCAGAUUCUGCAUCUAGAGCACUUGUAGCUUCAUCUAACAGCAGUAUUUUUGGAUUUUUCACUAUAGCUCGAGCAAUGGCUACCCUUUGUUUUUGGCCUCCGGACAAUUGGAUUCCUCGCUCUCCCACGACAGUAUCGUAUCCCUGCAUUUAUAUUGCCAUAAAAAAUACAAGAUUCAGCAGCAACAAUCUCACUGUUAUCUAAAAUUUCUGCCUCGGUUGCAUUUCCACCUUUUCCAUAUGCAAUGUUGUCGCGGAUUGUAUCAUUAAACAAGAUCGGUUCUUGACUCACAAGCCCCAUCUGCUGUCUCAGCCACUUGAGUUGCAGCCUCCGAAUUUCGACACCAUCAAGUGUUAUAUUACCUGAAUCUGGAUCAUAAAAUCUUUGUAACAGUGAGAUGACAGUUGAUUUCCCACUUCCGCUUUCUCCCACUAGCGCCAGAGUCUGAAAAAAGAUCCACAUUUGUACAAUUUAUGAUUAGACAUUAAGCUAGAUAGUUGCUUCUUUUA